AUAGAUGUGCUGAAAUUGGUAUACAGAUUCCACUUAGGAUGGAAUGGCAUUCAAGCCAUACAAGUUCAAGUCUUGUCAUCUAUA
rnacentral:tRNA from 1 species